rnacentral:rRNA from 1 species
GGCGCAGGCGGCUGGCUAAGUCCUGUGUGAAAUCCCACGGCUCAACCGUGGAAAGCCACAGGAUACUGGCGAGCUAGAGACGGGUAGAGGCGAGUGGAAUUCCCGGUGUAGCGGUGGAAUGCGUAGAUAUCGGAAGAACACCAGUGGCGAAGGCGACUCGCUGGGCCCGUUCUGACGCUCAGGCCCGAAAGCGUGGGGAGCAAACA